ensembl:lncRNA
CUCUCUCUCUCUCUCUCUCUCUCUCUCUCUCUCUCUCUGGGAUUGUAAAGUGCAUCCUGAGUGCUGCGAUUGUUUUAUAUUUAAUAUCCGAUUGCCCCGAAAAUUUGCAGAUUCAUGAGCCACGCGUGGGCAAAUUGUCUAGCGUAAUGCACAUAGCCUAAAACAAAUAUGAGGAAAGGCCAUGCUUCCACAUCUUUAGGCCACGCCUUCUACCCGAGCUCCAUGUCAGCCCGCUUUCUGUGCUGAGCAGGAAAAUGAUUCAGCGUCAAGGUGACGCCCUUUUGUCUAUUUUUACACGCAACAGUGUGUCCUGCGGUGUCAGAGCCCACACCGAGUCUGUCUGAGACGUUCGAGGUGAGCGCGUGGUGAUUUCGACGUGCAGUUUCUACCGCACUAAACCGAAGGCUAUAAGUAUUAGCAAUAAACCAGGCUAAUGGUGGCACCGAUCUUCAAAUACCAGACUGGAAAUUUCGAGUCAGUCGGGAACGCGACGUAUUCCUUUUCGAAGUGCUUCUGACGGCGAACGGAGAUAGACGAGAGAAUAAUAAUCCCGCAGCUUUCCCAGUCUUCGUCAUUCCCCGGUGGCAAAAGUAUGAUUUUCUGCCCUCUAAUGACUCUAAGCAGUUUAAUACGAGUCAUAUUUCCUCCAUUAUGCUGCUGCCGUCAUUAUGAUGAUAUUCUUUAUCACGACCGUAAUUUCCCGUUACUUGCGUUAUGAAAAUCCUCUCCGAAUCGCUUCUCUGUAUGCAGAUUCUCUGUAUUCCCUCGCCCACUCCCCAUCCCCCCCCCCCCCGAGCUGAGCGAUGCGUUAUUACUUUAUGAACCCGCCGAUGUGAGACGUUCUCUGUUGCUUAGUGACCUACACCCUGAGCUGUUGCUAGAUUCUUCCACGGUGACUUCACAACCCGGUUCUCAGGGUCGUGGAGAUCCUUAUUCCAAUGACUCAAAUGUCAUAGACGACGUUUUAUUUGUAUUUAUUUAUUUAUUUAUUUAUUUACCCGUGACAGCUUGGGGUUACGUAACAAUUGCAAAGAGUGCCAGCGUCGUUGCAUCAGUGUUUGGCCAGCUGACACUGUAGGUGGACGGAUAAACGAAGGAAAUGUCAAACACGUCGCGCUGUAAUAAUUGCACUUGUGUCAGAUUCCACGAGUCGAUGUACAACCCGGAAGGCGUUUCCAUCAGAUGUCGGCAUACCACCUGGAAAACAUCCGACAUCCUACGCGCGAUGGAACGAAGCGGGCCUACUCAGUUGGCUGUAUUGCAGUGCAUUAUGGGAGUCAUAAUUGUGACAACCUUUGUUUCCGUACUUAAACGUGGCCUGACGUAACGUCUGAAUCGAAUGUCUGAGAUACGGCGUAAUCCUGCGUAAUUAGGAGGAGGAGCGCGUCGGAACAAAAGUUUGUGCACCCAUAACAAGAGAUUGCGUUUCGGACUCGUGUCGUGACAGAAUAUUUGUUUUAUUUUUUUCCCCCCCGAUUAUACAUUGUUCCAUUUAACCUAACAGUCUUUAGGCAUUAGAUUUCAUUAACAUAUGUCAGUAUACUGGAAACGAUCUCGAUGUGUAAUUGUAAGUGAGCCUCAGCAGUUAAGGCUCUGGGUUACUGUUUGAAAGGUACUGUUGGGCUGUUGAGCAAGGCCAUUAACUCUCUCUGCUCCAGGGGGCGCUGUAUCAUGGCCGACCCUGCGCUCUGACCCCGACCUCCUACCAUGCUGGGGUAUGCGAAGAAAAGAAUUUCACCGUGCUGUAAUGUAUACGUGAUCAAUAAAGACUCAUUCUCAUUAUUGCACAAGCAAGAGUAUUUAGCAGGACCACACGAUUCCAAGCCGCAUUGCGGUAUCGCUUUUAUAAAAGUGUUCUGUAAACAGGAAAUGAACACCGAGUAAGCGACAUUUCGGGCACAGUACAUGCCAAACGUUUUGUCGAUUCCUGCUGCGCUAGCGGAAAUCGCUCCUGAAGAAGCCACACCCGUUAGUUCACUAGCUAGCUCACGUCGAUUUGUACGUUCGCAAACUUGCGUCCGGUCGAAUCGCCUUCCCUUCUUCAUUUGGAGAGCGUUCAUAUUUGAAGUCAAAAGCCAUAUCCACGGAAAGGGAAAAAAAAGGAGUUUGCCAUGUCCGCUGAUGAUGUCACUAACACCGGGAACCAGGAGCUUCGAAAUAGGAAGUGGAAUUUUACGAGCAGAGCGGUACACACAAGUGAAAUGUCCCAGCACGGUUAGACUAAAUCUUCGACCAAUCAAAUCAGUCGACCGGACUGUUGUAUAAGAGUUCAUUGGAUAAUUCCGGGGUCUACAUGUAGGGUUCUACAUAGAAUCUUCCAAGGGUUUCCUCCAUAAGGACAUCUCUAUACAGUGUGUAAGUAGUUUUUAAAUAACAUUUUUUUUAAAAACGUGAUCCGAUCGUGGGGAAAUGUCACAGCUCGUAAGGCUUUAGACUUGGCUUUAGAGUUGAAACGUAUUAUUAUUAGCAGAAAAUGAUAUCAUUUUUGUAAAUAAUAUCAUCAUAUAAUUGUCUUGUUUUUUCUCAUGAAUGUUUUUUAGGAUUCAGCCAUAGCGACAUGCGGCAGGUUUUCCCAGACCGCCACGCUUAGAAUUCGAUAAAAAUGUUCACUCACAGUUACUGGGUGCAAAAGCGACCUUGUCUACACUUCUGAAUUUCUGUCAGAUAUUAGAGACGUUCUCUGCGGUUUCUUCUCCAUCUGUCAUUCGUGUCACUCUUUAUCUCUCUGUGGAUUUGUUUUCUCUCUCUCUCUCUCUCUCUCUCUCUCUCUCUCUCUCUCUCUGUCUCUCUCACACUCAAGGCGCCAUCUGCUUCACCUUCAGAUCUAAAACUCGUACACUAAUUUACCAUCUGCACCGCGCGGUGCUGACAACGGAGAAGCUAUUUCUUCUUGAAUGCAAAGUACCGCAUUUGAAAUUCUUUCGCUAAUAUGGAGAUCCGAACGUCCUGUGUAUUCCUGUACCUGAUCACCUCGUGGUGAUCAGAGUGUAUAUAGAGUGUAUCCGAGCGUAUAAAGGUGGGUAUAUCCUUACGUCUUAGCCCUAACGUCUUGAGAUACCGAUAGCCUCUUAGCGCGGACCGGACCCCACGAAGUGUCCCGGGGACAGAAAACCUCGACCAUUCGGUCGAAUCUAAUCAGGGACUCUCACACUCUUUGAGGACCCAUGAGGAAUGAUUACGUUUUUAUAUUUUUUUUUUUGCUGUAAAUUGGGUAGCAAGGGGCUCAGGGAAAUCUAACAAUAAUGAAAUCAAAGAGAGCGCACACACUAUUCCCACUACUGCUGUGUUAUUGCCACACCGACACUCAUGAUCGCACUCGCACAGUUCAUAACGCGGUCCUGUGAAGCUCAACAUACUUCGAGUGACACAACAGAAACCGACCGACUCGAGGGUUAUGUAUAUAGAUAGAUAAAUAAAUAAAUAAAUAAAUAAAAUCCAUCUAUGAUAUUUGAGGCGUAUUGGAAUAAGGAUCCCAGGUCAAGGAGAGAGGUCGUGCACUGCUUUUCAUCAAAAUGUAUAGCCUACACCCCUUAUACGAUUUAUACACACACAUGUUACAUGCUAAGCUUUGUCGGAGCUUCUUAUCAGAUUAGCAAAGUCAGCUAGUCAGCUGUAGUCGCUACGUACACUCGCUCGAGGCACCGACGACGACCCCUGCUACGUCCUUCCGAGCUUUAUUUUUUUUCUUCAUAAUGUCUCUAUAGACGUGUAAUGAGAAGUCAUGCAUGAGAGGUUGAGAUGAAAGCAUAGUUAGAAGUUUUUUCUUUAUUUCAUUGUCGCAUAAUAAACGGGGAACUAAUUGCAGGUAGGAACCAAAGUCGCGAGUGGGGACCUGAAGGAACGCGCCAAAGGAUUGGUCUGAGGAACCACUUGUUUGCAUUCGAUGCUGCACCGUGUCAUACCACAUUCGCAAAGAUAGAAUUGAGAAAUUCAUCAGUUCAAAUGAUUUACCUUUUGCCAGUGUGGCUGAAAUCACUGUUCGCUGAUGCUCACAUGCAUAAAACAUGAAUUGCUUCUUUGUUACUUGCGUGAACGUAGGGGUUAUACUGUACAAUCACCGUUCACUGUUGUUGUACGUGCCUGUCGUCAUGCAUGCUCAAUACUAAUGAGUGUCUUCUGUUUUCAUCUCUCCAUCCCUCUGAUCUUCCCCCUUCCUUUUUCAUCCUCCUCAACCUGCCCACCUGUCAUCGUCUCCGUGGGACGAUGCUAUCGCAUCGCCAAACUGACAUCCCUGACCCGUGACCUCAUGACCCCAGUGAGAAGAAACACUACUUGACACUCACCCCACCUCCCUCUCCUCUUCCUCCUCGUCAUCAUCCUCCUUGGAGUCUCCUCGGCCUUGUACACAUCUCUCAGUCUCCCAUUCCUAGAUGUGUACACACGUGAGAAAAUAGGAACCCCGACCGAAACCCUACCCAGACCCUCCAUGAGCAUGUGGGGUCGAUUUGCUUAAAAUGGAUGACCAAGAAAGACUUCCACAAUCAAACACGGAGUUGUUUCUGCCCCCCAGCACCCGGGCUGCUAGCUUCUCUGGCCGUCUGCCCUCUGGGUUCUGUAAUAACCACCAGGAGGAUCCGUUUUCCUCUUCUGGCCAGACCAAAGCCCUCCUGGCCACGCUCUCAACUGAGGCCCUGCUGCUUGCCACCACCCUCAGGCAUCGCCGGCUCCUCCGAGAACAGAGCACCAAUUCUUCAAAACCUCCCCCUUCACUCUCCACCGACCACUCUUCACCCUCUUCAAGCUCCUCUUCCUCGGCCUCAACCCCUUCUCCUGUGUCCGCCGGCUCAUCCCAUGACCCAAACCUCUUGAUUGGCGACAGUACAACAAACAAGAAGAAAGGAAAUGAUGUCAUGCCCCAGUUUGUUCCAGCUGCCAACACUGAGUGAGGUACUGGGAUGAGAACGAACCUCCAUGCAAAAGAUAUGCACGUCAAGGUGAGAGAACAACAAAGACGGCUUGUAUUUAUAGAGUUUGAAAACUUCUUCAUCAUGUAGAAUCUCCUCCUCCAUCUUGGCUGAACCCUCGAGGAGCCUGGAGGAAUGAUAAAGGCUACAGCCCACACACACACAGCCUACCAUCUCUCAUUCGUUAUGGGUUUAUUCUUCUCCCAUCUGGAUCCUCCAGAAACCCGACAGUACUGCCAGUUUCCCUCAGAAAGCCCACAGAUGGGUUUGGAUGCCCUCCACGUUCCAGCCUGACGCUCAGUCACGUCGACGAGCCAGCAAAUACCACCCGGACGAGGCCAGAGAAAGGACUCUCUACCCCAAACACAGUCAUCCAUCUGCCAAAUAUCACCUUUCACAGACCUAAUGGUGUCUGGUAGAUUUUUAUCAAGUGUAAUUAGCUAGACUGUAAACCUGCGUGAUUGAAGGUAGAGUUGCAAUAAUCCUAAAGUGAGUACAGUAGUAGUCAAUGUGUGUUCAGAUUUAUAUCCUCUUAAUAUUUAAAACAGGAUAAUGUGAGGGGAAAACAACUAAACAAACCUGUAUAAUCAACAUUUUUACUUCCGGGAUGGUUUCUCUGGGUACGAACAGAACGGAUCAUGUACUGCCCUCGGAGCAACGACGAUACCCGAUGAGAUACUUCUAGGGGUGUGUCUUUUUAACUUUAGUCGAAGGAAGAUAAUUGUAGGGGAACAUUUAUGAAAGUACUUCAUUACACCGUAAGGACCGCCGGUCUAAUUUUGCGUUAUUGGGUAGCUUGGUGAACACAAACGACUGAAACUGGUGCUAUCGUCUUUUUAAACUGAUGGGAAUACCAAUACGAAGAGGAAAACCGUGUAUGAUUCAAAAUCCAUAGUCCUUGUUAUGUCCACACAGAGUAUAUGGUUAAUCUGUUAUAUUUCUUCAAACUUGGCACAAAGUUAUAAAUUGGUAACUGGCACACUUAUAUAGCACUUUUAUCCAAAGCGUUUUACACUGUGUCUCAUUCACCCAUGGUAGCAGAGCUGCCACGCAAGACGCUAACUUGCCAUCGGGAGCGAUUCGGGGCUCAGCGUCUCACCCAAGGACACUUCGGUAUGUGGAGUCACGUGGGCAGGGAAUCGAACCGCCGACCCUACGAUGAGUGGACGACCCGCUCUACCACCUGAGCCACAGCCGCCCCGAGUUACAAGUGCGACAGACGGAUUGCGGGAUGUAGGAGGACGAUCGCUAUUUACAGACGUUGAGAAAGUAGCAGUUGGCUAAAUCGCCUAAGGAGAGCUUGUCUGAGGGUCCAAAGGUUAUUUAAGGCACAUUAAUGCACGAUGGAGGUCUAGACGCUCCAGAAAAGCACAAGUCUAAAGAGCCUGAAAGGAAGGAUCUUCUCAACCAUUACAUUUUAUUUAUUUUUUUCAAAUCAUAAAGUACAAUGAUCGAGUCUGACAAUCAGCACUAGAUUGGCACACUUUGUUUGACCCUUGGGCACUGCCACAACGCACAGCUCUGUUCUAUAAAACCAUGCAGAAAAGCAGAUGGGAGGAUCGGUGUAGUGUUUGGAGAACUACAGGGAACAACUAUAGAUCGUUCAAACGGGCCAGAAAUAUAAGACACCGGGAGUGAAGCUCAUGUUCCGGCAAUUUCGUCUGAGCUGGGUCGAAACGGGUCUCACGCGAGAUAAGAAUCGGACCCAGUCGGUCCGUUAGGACGACUUUUAGCUGCUUUGAAUCGCAUCAAUAUGGUACUCCAUCAUCCAAGGGAGGAUUGGUGUAGUGUUUGGAGAACUUGCAUGUCGAAUGGGUUGAGGGGGUGAUGGGGCGGGGUUUGGGCGGGCAGGCCAUUUUGGUAGGAGGUUGGUCCGUUCAGUCCGUUAGGACAACUUUUAGCUGCUCGUAAUCUCAUGACUGAGUAACGCAUAAGCUAAUAGCACACGUGUCAUAGACACGGUCUUGCUUUCAGAGAAAUUAAUAAUAUUUUUAUUUAUUUUUUAUUUUUAAAAGGAGAGUAUUAAGAGAAUACGGAUUUUCUUUCUACUUGUUUGACAGAACAAGUGCUGGAAAUGGAUUUGUCUCGGCGUGAAGAUGAAAAACAAUGGCCUGAGAGCAGGGCCCGUGAGAGCAGCAGGCUGCCGGAGGAGAGAUUAGCACACGUGCUUGCGUUUUUUUUUUUUUUUGGUUUUUUUUUUAAAUGAAGAAUUCAGUGCAAAGUGUCAGCUUUGGAAGGAUUUCUGUUCCACAAGGGAAAUCAACUUAAUUACAGGAAACAAAUCUGGCUCUUCUGGCUUCAGCUCAGCCUGGCAGUCGGCAAAUGCCGAAAGAGAAAUAAAAAGCUCUGCUCGCUGCAGCAGAUUUGUCUUACUGUGUGCAGCUUUGUUCUUGAGAGCGAGAGAGAGAGAGCGCGAGAAAGAAAAAGACAGAGAGAGAGAACUCUUGAUUCGUGUCCUUUAGAGAGGCUGACAGGAUGAGUUGAACGAAUUGCCUGACUGGCAUUUGGCUUUUAUGGCAUCUUUAAACGCAAGGCACUGGAUGAUUUGUGCUUCAUCACUGCUUCGUUUUUUUGACACGUCUUGAAGAGAGAAAAAAAAAAAAAACGCCAAAGAUAUCAACCUUUUCCAUAUGGAAAUCAGAACAUCUAGAGAGAAACAGGGUUCAUUUUGGGGGUUUUUGUUUUGCGUUGAAUGUGUAUGCCUUUCGUUUAUCAGGUUUGUACGAAGCACCUCUGACGUUCUCACUGGCGUCAAAUCCUUAACCAGAAUGUCCACAGAAGAAGAAUGAUGGAAACGGCACCGGCGCCGCCUGGAAGAGAACGUUGGCCUCGAGCCAAUUCGGUUCAUUUACGUAGUAGCGAUCGCAGUCCGAGCCACAGAACCUCACACUUGCAGCUUGCCUACUUCUACUGUACAAGUGUAGCUCUGGCCAUUCCAUCCGCUCCUCCAUACCCACUUUCUAUAUCCACGGAUUGAAGUGUAGAGCUAAAUGAGGUGGUGUUAGCAUUAAAUAUAAACCAUGGAGAGCUGAAGGAGGUAACAAAGUCCCAAAGUCGAAUAUCAAUGAAUAGACAAUGAACCUGUCGGGGGGGUGAGGGGAGGGGUAGGGAGGGACAACACGAUUUGCAUUAUAAUCCCUGUGAUUAGCUUUGGUUUAGUUCAUAACGAAUGUAAUAUGUGUCAUGUUUGUUGUUGUUUUGUUUUGUUUAUUUUUUUGUGUAGGUUGGUAAUACGAUCGUCCCUAAACAAAUCGAACGAUGCAAACUUUUAUCAUCUCUUUUGUUUAUAUUAACCGAAAUUGCUUUGUACAGCUUUGUUCCUUUGCUUUUUUUUAUUUUUUUUAACUAUAUAUAUAUAUAUAUAUAUAUA